CCGACGGUGAGAGAUGAAAGCUGGGGGAGCAAACCGGAUUAGAUACCCGGGUAGUCCCAGCCGUAAACGAUGUGCGUUAGGUGUAUCGGUGACCACGAGUCACCGAGGUGCCGAAGAGAAAUCGUGAAACGUACCGCCUGGGAAGUACGGUCGCAAGGCUGAAACUUAAAGGAAUUGGCGGGGGAGCACCACAACAGGUGGAGCCUGCGGUUUAAUCGGACUCAACGCCGGGAAACUCACCAGAUAAGACAGCUGAAUGAUAGUCGGGCUGAAGACUCUACUUGACUAGCUGAGAGGAGGUGCAUGGCCGUCGUCAGUUCGUACUGUGAAGCAUCCUGUUAAGUCAGGCAACGAGCGAGACCCACGCCAACAGUUGCU
rnacentral:rRNA from 1 species